GAUCAUGGCUCAGGAUGAACGCUGGCGGCGUGCCUAAUACAUGCAAGUCGAACGCGGGCAGCAAUGCCCGAGUGGCGAACGGGUGAGUAAUACAUAAGUAACCUGCCCUAGACAGGGGGAUAACUGCUGGAAACGGCAGCUAAGACCGCAUAGGUAUGGACACUGCAUGGUGACCAUAUUAAAAGUGCCAAGGCACUGGUAGAGGAUGGACUUAUGGCGCAUUAG
rnacentral:rRNA from 1 species